CUCCAUUCCGAUGCUCUUUCAGCCUCAGACCCCGGCUCUCGGUCCGCCGCUUCACGUCUUGGCGCAGCCUCAGAGAGUUGGCGCGGCUCUGCGUUGACCGAACCUAGUGGAUGCAGUUAGCGCCGGAGCCCGGCCCCGCCCGUCACCAGGGUUAUUCCCGCCUUCUAGGUUUGCCAGGACUGCCGGCCCUCCAGCUGCCUUCUCCCCCAGGUUUUUGGCUACUGAUGUUACAAACAAUAAAAUAUUGGAGCAUAGAGUUGAAGAAAAGACUCAAACCAGGUUUUUAUUUAAUUAGUUAAAAAUAUGGAUCCUGAAACAAGGGGACAAGAGAUUAUCAAAGUGACACCUCUUCAGCAAAUGCUUGCCUCAUGUACUGGAGCUAUACUGACAUCAGUAAUAGAUACCACUUGCUAAUUGAAACUUACAUAUCUUGAUAGUGACACCCCUGGAUGUUGUUAAAAUUAGACUCCAAGCCCAAAACAACCCAUUCCGCAAAGG
rnacentral:sRNA from 1 species